GUGUGUGGGUGUGGGUGUGGGUGGUGGAAGGUAGGAAGGAGUGGGAAGGAAACGGGAAUGUCCCAGCGUCCUGUGGGCCAGCUGCUUUCACGUGAUAGAGCUUAAUAGGAGAUCGAUUUCUUUCCUGAGCAGAGACAUAUUUACAUGGAAAAGGCUUAACAGAAGAUCCUGUUUGUUUGCAAUCAGUGUUGAUCACCUCGGUACAGAGGCCCUCGUUGCUUUGCCAAGGACAGGCUUAGGAAGUAUAAGAUGCUGUCCUGAUGGGCCUGCUUCCAGACGUGCUUCAAGUUCUCAAUGGCUUGUUUCCAUUUUGGGCAGGGGUUAGCCCACACCGGUGGCAAAUGCUUCAGCAAGGCUUUCCACCCCGGCAUGCUCUUGGCUGCCAGAUUUCUAGUUUCAUGCUAGUGAAGAGAUGCAGUGUGGGUGAGGGGGCCAGGGAAGUAGUUGCAGCAGAAGCUCCACUGAAGUAAGCCAGUCGCCGAUUUGCCCAGCAGUGUGGGCUUUUUGUACCUGCAAGCCCAGCGGGCUGUUGGCUUUGGUGAUAGGAUUUAGAGGGUGGGUGACAAGAGUUUGAGCUGUGGUAUGAACAGCGAUGGCAGUAAAGAGCCUGAGCUUCCUGCCUGUCUCCCCAGUUGGCCCUUCUUGUCCUACACAGAACCAGGGACCACAGGGGACAGAGACUAAGGACGACGAACUCCAGAGCCCAGAUGCCCUCGGUGUUUCUUCCACGUGGCACUGUUCUGUGGGAAGAGUACCCAGCCUAGCACAUACUGCACACGGACCACCGUGACACAUCAAGGUAGCUGACGAUGUCGCAGGCAUAUGGGCCCUCGGGGAGCUGAUCUACUGUUUCAACCCCGCUCUGCCUGCCGGCUGGUAGACACGUGAGUACAGUCUUCCUGCCUAAGGGCGUGGCUGGAUUCUUAGAAGAAGUGACGCGCUGGUAACCGGGUGCCAUCGGAUCUGAGCUCUUUGUCACACAAGUGCUAACGAACAGAAAAUGGGCCGCGACAGUUAAACACCUGAAUGGAUCGCACCGUGCUUUUCCCCUUGGCUUCCCAUAAGAAAUCAAAUGGAACACCUUGUGAGA